CAGGAUACAAAAUCAAUGUACAGAAAUCAGCUGCAUUUCUAUACAACAAGAAUGAAGCAGCACAAAGAGAUAUAAAGGAAUGGAUCCCAUUUACAAUUUCACCAAAAAACAUAAGAUACCUAGGAAUAAACCUAUC